rnacentral:misc_RNA from 1 species
AAUUACUUCUAAAUUUCUUCCAUUUCCAAUUUUUCCAUCUCACAAAUUUGUUUAGGGUUCUUGAAUUGGACUUUUUUUUCUCUCAGAAUCUUUCUUCUUUUAAUUUCUCCUAAUUCUUCUCGAUUUCCUUUUGAUUGCCCUGUACCCAAAACCCUAUCUUUUGGAUUUCAAUUUCCUAAUCUUUUCUGAAUUCUUCCAUUCUUCUCGUAAAUCCUUUUCUGCUCUUCUUCUGUAACCCAUACCCUAGCCCUUCUGUCAUUAGAUCAUGGAAAUACAACCUGGUCAACAAAAGAUUCUUCUAGAUAUGUUUGAAUGUAUGGAGAGAUACUCUAGAACACAAGAAGAGUUUCUGGAAAGAUGGGAUCAGAAAUGGUGAAAAUUGGAGAAGCCAACUCAAGAUGCAUAAAUCAGUAACCAUGGAAUUAAGAUUUCUUGGGGUAACAGCAUUGAAUUGGGAAAGACCAAGGAGAGU